GAUAACAGUUCGGCUGAUAACUCUAAACAGACUGCCUGGGUAACCAGGAGGAAGGUGAGGACGACGUCAAGUCAUCAUGGCCCUUAUGUCCAGGGCUACACACGUGCUACAAUGGGGUAUACAAAGAGCAGCGAUACGGUGACGUGGAGCAAAUCUCAAAAAUAUCUCCCAGUUCGGAUAGUAGUCUGCAACUCGACUACUUGAAGUUGGAAUCGCUAGUAAUCGUAGAUCAGCAAUGCUACGGUGAAUACGUUCCCGGGUCUUGUACUCACCGCCCGUCACACCAUGGGAGUUGAACUCAUUCGAAGCGGGGAUGCUAAAGUAGCUACCCUCCACAGUGGAUUUAGCGACUGGGGUGAAGUCGUAACAAGGUAACCUUAAA
rnacentral:rRNA from 1 species